CCUACGGGAGGCAGCAGUGAGGAAUAUUGGUCAAUGGCCGGAAGGCUGAACCAGCCAUGCCGCGUGAAGGUCAGUGCCCCAUGGGCGUUAAACUUCUUUUGUGCGGGAGCAAUAAUGGUCACGUGUGGCCAGACGAGAGUACCGUACGAAUAAGCAUCGGCUAACUCCGUGCCAGCAGCCGCGGUAAUACGGGGGAUGCAAGCGUUAUCCGGAUUUAUUGGGUUUAAAGGGUGCGUAGGCUGUGAGGUAAGUCAGCGGUGAAAUGCCCCCGCUCAACGGGGUGAAGUGCCAUUGAUACUGCCUGGCUGGAAUGCGGAUGCCGUGGGAGGAAUGUGUGGUGUAGCGGUGAAAUGCAUAGAUAUCACACGGAACACCGAUUGCGAAGGCAUCUCACGAAUCCGCGAUUGACGCUGAUGCACGAAAGCGUGGGUAUCAAACAGGAUUAGAUACCCCAGUAGUC
rnacentral:rRNA from 1 species